UACGUAGGGGGCGAGCGUUACCCGGAUUUACUGGGCGUAAAGCGCGUGUAGGCGGCUGGUCAAGCGUGGUGUGAAAUCUCCGGGACUCAACCCGGAAACUGCACUGCGAACUGACCUGGCUGGAGUGCAGGAGAGGGCAGCGGAAUUCCCGGUGUAGCGGUGAAAUGCGUAGAUAUCGGGAAGAACACCAGUGGCGAAGGGCGGACUGC
rnacentral:rRNA from 1 species